UCCUUCUAGUAAAAGCACAGUGCUGAAAUUGUGAGACUCAAGCCUCUUUGGUUUGGCUCUUGUGAUAAUGCCAGCAUGAGUACAUCCAAGAAGGAGAGCAAGUGCACAGCAUUGGAAUGAGACUAGGAUGGACCUCUUUCUUAAUGUCCGGUGUCCUCUGUCUUAAGAUUCUGUGCAACACUU
ensembl:snoRNA